rnacentral:rRNA from 1 species
GGCCUACCAUGGUGGUAACGGGUAACGGGGUGUUAGGGCACGACACCGGAGAGGGAGCCUGAGAAACGGCUACCACAUCCAAGGAUGGCAGCAGGCGCGCAAAUUACCCAAUCCCGACACGGGGAGGUAGUGACAAUAAAUAACAAUACGGGGUUCUUUCGGAUUUCGUAAUUGGAAUGAGUACAAUUUAAAUCUCUUAACGAGGAACAAUUGGAGGGCAAGUCUGGUGCCAGCAGCCGCGGUAAUUCCAGCUCCAAUAGCGUAUAUUAAAGUUGCUGCAGUUAAAAAGCUCGUAGUUGAAUUUCGGGACCAUCAUGUCGGUCGUGCCUCGGUACGUACUGGCAUUGUUGGUUUCUCCCUUCUGACGAACCAUGAUGUCAUUUAUUUGGUGUCGUGGGAAAUCAGGACUGUUACUUUGAAAAAAUUAGAGUGUAUAAAGCAGGCUCACGCUUGAAUACAUUAGCAUGGAAUAAUGAAAUAGGACGUUUGAUUCUAUUUUGUUGGUUUCUAGGAUCGACGUAAUGAUUAAUAGGGAUAGUUGGGGGCAUUAGUAUUCAAUUGUCAGAGGUGAAAUUCUUGGAUUUAUUGAAGACUAACUACUGCGAAAGCAUUUGCCAAGGAUGUUUUCAUUAAUCAAGAACGAAAGUUAGGGGAUCGAAGACGAUCAGAUACCGUCGUAGUCUUAACCAUAAACUAUGCCGACUAGGGAUCGGAUGAUGUUAAUUUUUUAAUGACUCAUUCGGCGCCUUACG